CGCGUAGGCGGUUUGCUAAGUCAGAUGUGAAAGCCCAUGGCUCAACCAUGGACGUGCAUUUGAAACUGGCGGACUUGAGUAUUGGAGGGGUGGUGGAAUUCCCGGUGUAGAGGUGAAAUUCGUAGAUAUCGGGAGGAAUACCGGUGGCGAAGGCGACCACCUGGCCAAAUACUGACGCUGAGGUGCGAAAGCGUGGGGAGCAAACA
rnacentral:rRNA from 1 species